UGUGUGUGUGUGUGUGUGUGUGUGUGUGCGCGCGCGCUCUCGCACAAUGCACGUGUGUGUUUGCUGUGCAUACGUGGUGUGUGCUGUGUGUAUUGCUGUGUGCUACAUGCAUGUUUGCAUUGCCUGCGUGUGUGUAUAGUAUGUAUAUAUGCGUGGUGUAUGUGUUUAGACAAGAGAACAACCUCAAGUAUCAUAUCUCAGGUACCAUUUAUCUUGCUUUUUUGGGGGGGACAAGGACUUUCACUGGCCUGGAACUUAACAACUACGCUAGAUUGAUUGGCCAGGAAGUCCUAGGGACACACCUAUCUCUGCCUCUUCAGCACUGGGAUUGUUAACAGUGGCCACACACCUAGCUUUUUUUAUAUGGACUCUAGGGAUCAGUUCCCAUUAUUGCAGAGUGAGCAUGUUACCAAAUAAGCUCUCUUCCCUAGCCUUAAAUUCAGACUAAAAAAAUAUCAGUCUAUAUUCUAAUGUAUACGGGUGUUUUGUCUCCAUGCAUAUCCUUGCACCACAUGCAUGCCUGGUGCCCACAGAAGCUAGAAGAUGACACUGGACCUCCUGGAACUGGAGUUACAGAUAAUUGUGAGCUUCCAUGUGGGUGCUGGAAAUAGAACCUGGGUCCACUGGAAGACCGGCCAGUGCUCUUAAACCCCUGAACCAUCUCUCCAGGUCUCCAAAUGCAGAAUUUUAAAAGAUGACCACAUUUUAUGGUAACCCUGAUCAUCAUUAGGAAAAUAGGUAAACACUGCACAUUUGAAAAAGUAUAUGGUCAUCCGAAGCUUAAAGACUUCACAGUAGUUUGAGGUGCCUUUAAGAGCAAUUCUGCCCGUUUCUGUCCAGCUAGGCUUUUUGAAUUUAUUCUGAUGUGGGCUUGGUGCUUAUGAAGCUGCCUCAUAUUUGAUCAAGCGAAAACAGUCUUCAUGAGGACUUGGCCCUUCAGCUCCAGCCCAGCUGACUGUCCUCUAAGCUCUGCUGUACAGAGAGAGGAAAUGAAAUCAUGCCAAGCUGACAGUUCUGUUUGCUGGAUGUAAGCCUUUUGAAAUGUUGUUACUAAUUAGUGCUGUUUUCCUUUUAAAACUGACAAAUGCAGAUUAGGAAAUUGUGCACGUAAGUCUUUUUUUUUCCCUCUCUUGCUUUCUCUCUCUCUCUCUCUCUCUCUCUCUCUCUCUUCCUCUCUGUGUGUUCUUUUAUGAUUGGUUCUGAUCUGAAGCAGACGGACACCUAGCCAGAAGGCAUUUUGGAGUUUGUUAAAUUAGACUGUAAAGUUCUCAUACAGAGCACAUUUGAAAACUGAUGUCAGGAUUUGGAAUGUUAGGGAACAAACAAAGCUGUCGGGAAUAUCCAGAUAAUUUAGAGGUAUCUUUCGGGCACUUUGAACUACAUAAGAGAAUAUUUAGACAGGUUCUAAUUUAAGCAGCAUUUAUUGUUAAAAAAAUUUGAUGCAGUGUUAGUUGUAAAUUCAUUUUUAUCUUACCCAGUCUGGUUAGAGUUCUCACAACCUAAUCUGGUUGCAGAUUAGGUUAACUUGGAGAACCGGCCGUAGACUUGUGAGUUUGACAAGAUCUCAUGUCUAGCAUGAUGAAGGGCAGGCAUCCAGGCUUUAAUGAAAUUGUAGAAACCUGCCAAUGUGACUCUUGAAAUACUUGCAUAGCUCUUCAGAGUGUAUUUUUCUUGCCAUUGCCCAAAUAAUUCUGAACUUAUUAAACAACCAUCCAUUCUUAUUUGAAAAAUAAAUAAUUCAAUUUUACGGGUCAGCUGCAAACAGCUGAAAUGAUAAGUAUUAAGUGAUAUUUGUUGCUAGUUAAGUGUUCCAGUUUAGAACUCAGAGUUAAAAUUGGGCCCUUUACCAGCAUGGAGACCACAGAUGUAUGUCUGUCUUUCUUUCUUUCUUUCUUUCUUUCUUUCUUUCUUUCUUUCUUUCUUUCUUUCUUUCUUUCUUUCUUUCUUCCUUUCUUUUUUUCAUCUGUGAAUUUACCACAUAUGCUAUCAUGAAUGUGUGUCCAAUUCCUUCAGAGUUUGUGAUUUGUACCUAUUUGUCCAGAUUUGUUUAUGAACUCUAUAAAGAAACUGACGAGGAAUCUAAAGCCAGUUGGAAAGAAUCAGGGGAGAAUGUGAUGUUCUCAAUAAGUGGGGACAACUAGUGUAUCCUUCAUAGUCAUGACAGAGUAGCAAAGGAAUUGGGAAAGGAGCGAGUAUGCUUGUGUGUGUGCGCGCACACAUACACACAGAGCUUGAAUGUGUAAGCAUGCCGUAGAGACUGAUAGCAUUUGCUUAAGCAGCAUGAAAUUAGGGUACAUCCUGGUCAUAAAAUGUGUGGCUGACUCUGAACUCUUAAGAAGUGUACUUGGCAGUCACUAGGAUCUCUGGGAAGUUCUUGGUGUUCCUGAAUGCUGUGAGGUGAACACCCUUGGCGUUCUUUGACUCCAGCUGAAGGGUGCAACCAUUUGCCAUUCUUGCCUUGCCCACGCUCUGCCCUUGACCUUGUGAGGUCAAACAGAAGAGAAGAGGAGGUGGCUGACAGUUGCUGCCUCUUCUCACCUGUGUUUAGGGAGCUGGACCAGUGUCCUCCAAGCCUGCCCCUGCCUAUCUUGUGGGACAAAGUGAAAAGCUUGGGUUUAUCACAGUCGUGUGGAGAAAAGUAGAUUCAAUUGGGGGAAGACUUUCUGCCUUCUGAACUGCACUUGUUCUUCUGCAGGCAUUUAUGCAUCUUCUGAUGUCUGCAGCUGAGGUUCAGGAAAGGGCCCCAGAUGAAAGCAAUCUGUCUUGGGGCUUUUAAUGUUUUAUGUGUUCUCUACCCUUGAACUUGGAGUUAAAGGAGGCCAGGGAGGAGAUCUGCUCAGGAACUUCUACCAUCACCCUAGAGGUCAUGAGACAAAGAAGGGCGAGUCCUUUCUAACGUGCCAGUCUUGUUUAGGAUUUUUAUUUAGUUUCCCCACCCACUUUACCAAGAUUGUAAUUAUUGCUCAUGUCUCACAUGUUGGAAAUUAAGGCAAAGAGAGUUCUAGAAACCUCACCAGAUCACCUAAGUAGUAAUCAACAGUUGAGAUUUAAAACUAGGAUUUGGGCAUCCAAGGUUCUGGGUUCUAGGUCAGCAGUUGGGAAAAUCGCAGUCUAUGAAUGGAACCAGCCUAUUGUCUGGUUUUGUAAAUAAUGUUUUAUUGGUACAUAGCCAUAUCCACAUACAUGUUGUCUAAGGCUGCUUUUGUGAUAAUCAUGGCACAGAUAGUGAGUUGGAACAGAGACUGUUGGGCUAAUAAUCCUUAAAAUAUGUAUAAUCUGGCCCAGAUUAUAUGAAGGAAUUGGACACACACAUAUAC
rnacentral:lncRNA from 1 species